UACYGUGUAAUCACUGAAGAAACCUAUAAACGUUGAGGCAAAUGAACAACACCAUGAAAUAUUUCUUUCUCUGGAGACAGAAGUCUUAAAACGCUGGUUCUUGUUUCCAUAUCUGGUCUUAGGGAGAAGAUGCUGGCUUGAUCUUAGCUAGUACUUUUUUUUACUUAUGCUGUGUGCUAAGAGGGAAAACCRUCCUCAUUCUUCAAGGAGCAGAAAGCACAUAGAUGUCAUCCGUUGCUUCUAGUGGAGUGCCUCACAUUAAUUCCCACGUUCUGGAGAGCAUCAUCUUUUCCAGGCAGCCCCCCGCAGCACAGACAAUAGUGACAGAAAGCUCUGUGAUCUGCAGGCCGCUCGAUAUUCUCCCUAUAUCAUGCUAAUUCUUUGCCUGGUCUACUUUUAAAAGUCUCAGAAGAAUGAAAUUCCACUCUGAGAUAUCCAGAUACAAUUCAAGAACAAACCCUUCAAAGUCACAGAUCGAAGRAAACGGCAUCAUUAGGAGAAAUGCAGCAUUGCUGGAAUUAUGCAACACCUGGUCAAGAGCARUGGGACGAAGAGCAUGUCAGUGGCUCAGAUUAGAAAAGUAGAGGAUCAUCCUUUUGUGGGGUUUGCAAAACUUUUAGCCCUGGAAAAGCCACAAGGUSUGACUGUCCCCAAACUGGAUCACACUUGUGGUGUGCGUAAGCCAGCUCUAGUACUUGCUGCUAGAGGUGCUGCACAGGAACUUGCAUUGGGCAGGUGUGGGGUGUUUUGUCUCCCUGUUGGGGCUACAACCAACCCUGCRCUAGUUAAGCCAUCAAGUUUGACAUUUCUCUUCAGUCUGAUAUUCUACUCUAAGGUAGCAUGGCGAAGACCAGACAACGGGUCUGGUCUGAACCAGCGUUUUGCCUCUUCUGUCGGGGGAAUUUCUCCUCACAAGACCUGGCAUCACGAUGAAGCAACAUCUGGCUCUGAUGGUGCCUUCCAAAGGCACAUGGGCUGGGGGAGGCAGAGCUGAGCAGCAUGUGCUGGGCCUGGGUUCCCCAGCUCGUUAUGGCUAUGCAGGACCAGUGAUGAGGAGCCUUUGGAUUAUUAGGGCCUCACAAUUAAUGAGCGGUGCUGGCAGUCUGCUUGUAUCCAUGGAAAACUAUCAGGAUUGGCAGUUCUUGGCUUUGCAGUUCCCAGAGAGACCGAGUUAAACCUUUUUCUAUCUCCCAAGCACUUAACAUAAGUUUGGACUGAGGCAUGUUGGGGGAGGAAGAUGCAGCGUUGCUUCCCAUGUACUCUCUUCUGUGCUGAGUGGGCCCAGGCCCCUGGGAUAUGGAUUUCAAGAGCAAUAAAUUCACUCUAAAAUUUUAAAGAGGAUGACGCAGAAAAGUUAAAACAAACAAACAGACCAGCCCCACACAACAAAAGCUCCCUCUCUCCUGACG